UGUGUGGACAGACUCUGACAAAUCUAUUAGAUUAGCAAGUGUGUAAUGCAGAAAUAUCUCCACAGGAGGGCGAAAAGCUGAAAUGAAUUCAGUCAGAUUUGCAGUGGUGUAAUUCACCAACAUCACCACACGAGGGCGAACAUUUUAAAUUCAGUACAUUAAUACAGGUGUAAUUCAGAAAUAUCUCCACAGGAGGGCGCAAUAUUUCAUACAUCUGUAAUAUUUGUAUAUUUGUCUAUUGUUAGCUCAGAUAUUCAGUGUGUGUAAUAAUGUGUGUAUUUGUGUGUCGACUCUACAGGAUCAGUGGCGUGUUGUGGACUGUAAGCCUGUUGAACAGAAGCAGAGACGUGUGGACAGACACUGACUGUACUGAUGAUGAUCAUCUGCUGCUGCACAGGCUGUAAAGUAUAACCCCUGCUGGACACGGCUCCGGAAGCUCCAGGGGGAGACCGAACUGGUAUCCCCCCUUCUUCAGGCGCGCCUCACACUCACUCACCAUUCACACAUAUCGCAGAGUUCUGGCUGGGACUGAUACCAGCAACCCCUGAAGCCGUGGGGCAGCGCUCUUACCACAGAGCCACAGAUCUCCUGUCUGAACACCUGCUGGAACUGAUGCUUGAGCUGUGUCUUGAUCUGAGCUGUGAUUGGACAAUAAACUAGUUAAAGUUUGCCUGCUCUGGAGUUUGAACCCACAUCUCUCCAGCCUCCUCCUUCAUGCACAGCACAGAUGGAAAGUAAAGGAGUGUGAAGAGAAGACGCGACUCAAACAUAGGUGAGACAAAUCUCUAAAAUGCAGUGAUGCUGCUUUUGAAUCACUGAUUCAUUAAACUCUGAAUCUUUCAUUUGAAUCUUUAAUUUGAUUCUUUAAAUUGAUUCUUUGAUUUGAAUCUUUAUUUUGACUCUUUGAUUGAAUCAGUGGUUCAGAGCACACAUUUUUCUGCCAUCCUGAUUUUAGAAAGAUGCUCAACAAAAUCCUGAGAUGUCAGUGUUUCUCCACUAGAGGGCGCUGAUGUGAUGAAUCUACAAUAUAGUUUAAGCUGAUCUUUAAAACAAAUGAGCUGAAAUAUUGAAAAGCAUCAAUCAUCACCACUCGAGUCUCUUUAUCUUCACACAGACAUUCAGCCUGAGCUAGAAGAGACGUCUAGAAGAACCAGACGGUAAGAGCAUCUUACUUUAGCUGAUUCUGUCUGACCAAAUCAACAAGCUCAGUUUAGAUGACAGACAUGAAUAAUCAUCAGACAUGAAUAAUCAUCAGACAUUAAUAAUCAUCAGACAUUAAUAAUCAUCAGACAUUAAUAAUCAUCAGACAUUAAUAAUCAGCAGACAUUAAAUCAU